rnacentral:rRNA from 1 species
CCUACGGGUGGCAGCAGUGAGGAAUAUUGGUCAAUGGGCGAGAGCCUGAACCAGCCAAGUCGCGUGAGGGAGUACUGCCCUAUGGGUUGUAAACCUCUUUUGUCGGGGAGCAAAAGCCGGACGUGUCCGGCUGUGAGAGUACCCGAAGAAAAAGCAUCGGCUAACUCCGUGCCAGCAGCCGCGGUAAUACGUAGGGGGCAAGCGUGAUCCGGGUUUACUGUGUGUAAAGGGAGCGUAGACGGCGCGGCAAGUCUGAAGUGAAAGGCAGGGGCUUAACCCCUGAACUGCUUUGGAAACUGCCAUGCUAGAGUGCUGGAGAGGUAAGUGGAAUUCCUGGUGUAGCGGUGAAAUGCGUAGAUAUUAGGAGGAACACCAGUGGCGAAGGCGGCUUACUGGACAGUAACUGACGUUGAGGCUCGAAAGCGUGGGGAGCAAACAGGAUUAGAUACCCUUGUAGUC